rnacentral:rRNA from 1 species
AGAGUUUGAUCCUGGCUCAGGAUGAACGCUGGCGGCGUGCUUAACACAUGCAAGUCGAACGGAGUGCUCAUGACGGAGGAUUCGUCCAACGGAUUGAGUUACUUAGUGGCGGACGGGUGAGUAACGCGUGAGGAACCUGCCUCGGAGUGGGGAAUAACAGACCGAAAGGCCUGCUAAUACCGCAUGAUGCAGUUGGGUCGCAUGACUCUGACUGCCAAAGAUUUAUCGCUCUGAGAUGGCCUCGCGUCUGAUUAGCUAGUUGGCGGGGUAACGGCCCACCAAGGCGACGAUCAGUAGCCGGACUGAGAGGUUGACCGGCCACAUUGGGACUGAGACACGGCCCAGACUCCUACGGGAGGCAGCAGUGGGGAAUAUUGGGCAAUGGGCGCAAGCCUGACCCAGCAACGCCGCGUGAAGGAAGAAGGCUUUCGGGUUGUAAACUUCUUUUCUCAGGGACGAAACAAAUGACGGUACCUGAGGAAUAAGCCACGGCUAACUACGUGCCAGCAGCCGCGGU